rnacentral:rRNA from 1 species
AAUCUUCCACAAUGGACGGAAGUCUGAUGGAGCAACGCCGCGUGAGCGAAGAAGGUUUUCGGAUCGUAAAGCUCUGUUAUCAGGGAAGAACAAGCAUCAAAGUAACUGUUGGUGCCAUGACGGUACCUGACCAGAAAGCCACGGCUAACUACGUGCCAGCAGCCGCGGUAAUACGUAGGUGGCAAGCGUUGUCCGGAAUUAUUGGGCGUAAAGCGCGCGCAGGCGGCUUCUUAAGUCUGAUGUGAAAGCCCACGGCUCAACCGUGGAGGGUCAUUGGAAACUGGGAGGCUUGAGUGCAGAAGAGGAGAGCGGAAUUCCACGUGUAGCGGUGAAAUGCGUAGAGAUGUGGAGGAACACCAGUGGCGAAGGCGGCUCUCUGGUCUGUAACUGACGCUGAGGCGCGAAAGCGUGGGUAGCGAACAG